CGGACGGGUGAGUAACGCGUGAGAAUCUGCCAAAAGGUCGGGGACAACCACUGGAAACGGUGGCUAAUACCGGAUGUGCCUUUAGGNNNNAAAGAUUAAUNGCCAGAAGAGGAGCUCGCGUCUGAUUAGCUAGUUGGUGAGGUAAAYGCUCACCAAGGCAGCGAUCAGUAGCUGGUCUGAGAGGAYGACCAGCCACACUGGGACUGAGACACGGCCCAGACUCCUACGGGAGGCAGCAGUGGGGAAUUUUCCGCAAUGGGCGAAAGCCUGACGGAGCAAUACCGCGUGAGGGAGGAAGGCUCUUGGGUUGUAAACCUCUUUUAUCAGGGAAGAACCNAAUGACGGUACCUGAAGAAUCAGCAUCGGCUAACUCCGUGCCAGCAGCCGCGGUAAUACGGAGGAUGCAAGCGUUAUCCGGAAUUAUUGGGCGUAAAGCGUCCGCAGAUGGYUCAUCNAGUCNGCUGUCAAAGCCNGGGGCUUAACCCCUGAAAGGCAGUGGAAACUGCAGAGCUAGAGUGCAGUAGGGGUAGAGGGAAUUCCCNGUGUAGCGGUGAAAUGCGUAGAGAUCNGGGAAGAACAUCGGUGGCGAAAGCGCUCUGCUGGACUGC
rnacentral:rRNA from 1 species